GGGCCAGUCGUCUAGCCUGGUUAGGACAACACCCUUACGCGGUGUGGGUCGUCGGUUCAAAUCCGGCCUGGCCCA
rnacentral:tRNA from 1 species